AACGAACGCUGGCGGCAGGCUUAACACAUGCAAGUCGAACGCCCCGCAAGGGGAGUGGCAGACGGGUGAGUAACGCGUGGGAAUCUACCCAUCCCUACGGAAUAACGCAUGGAAACGUGUGCUAAUACCGUAUACGCCCUCCGGGGGAAAGAUUUAUCGGGGAUGGAUGAGCCCGCGUUGGAUUAGCUAGUUGGUGGGGUAAAGGCCUACCAAGGCGACGAUCCAUAGCUGGUCUGAGAGGAUGAUCAGCCACAUUGGGACUGAGACACGGCCCAAACUCCUACGGGAGGCAGCAGUGGGGAAUAUUGGACAAUGGGCGCAAGCCUGAUCCAGUCAUGCCGCGUGAGUGAUGAAGGCCUUAGGGUUGUAAAGCUCUUUCACCGGAGAAGAUAAUGACGGUAUCCGGAGAAGAAGCCCCGGCUAACUUCGUG
rnacentral:rRNA from 1 species